rnacentral:rRNA from 1 species
AACGAACGCUGGCGGCAGGCUUAACACAUGCAAGUCGAACGCCCCGCAAGGGGAGUGGCAGACGGGUGAGUAACGCGUGGGAACAUACCCUUUCCUGCGGAAUAGCUCCGGGAAACUGGAAUUAAUACCGCAUACGCCCUACGGGGGAAAGAUUUAUCGGGGAAGGAUUGGCCCGCGUUGGAUUAGCUAGUUGGUGGGGUAAAGGCCUACCAAGGCGACGAUCCAUAGCUGGUCUGAGAGGAUGAUCAGCCACAUUGGGACUGAGACACGGCCCAAACUCCUACGGGAGGCAGCAGUGGGGAAUAUUGGACAAUGGGCGCAAGCCUGAUCCAGCCAUGCCGCGUGAGUGAUGAAGGCCUUAGGGUUGUAAAGCUCUUUCACCGGAGAAGAUAAUGACGGUAUCCGGAGAAGAAGCCCCGGCUAACUUCGUGCCAGCCGCCGCCGUAAUAC